CUUUUAUGUUGGUGUAAUCUUUAUUUUAAAUGGACUAAUGAUGGGAUUGUUCUUCAUGUAUGGAGCAUACCUGAGUGGGACUCAACUGGGAGGUCUUAUUACAGUACUGUGCUUCUUUUUCAACCAUGGAGAGGUUUGUUUUCUAGAAAGCAAUUUUUAAGAAAUAGAAGAGGCUGUAGAGGAACAAGGAAAUAUACUCAUCAAAACAAUAUUUAAUUGUAUACUACUUAUGACUUCACAAUAUUUUAAAGACCCUCGUGUUGCCACCCGUGUGAUGUGGACACCACCUCUCCAUGAAAGUUUUUCCUAUCCUUUCCUUGUACUUCAGAUGUAUAUUUUAACUUUGAUUCUCAGGACCUCAAGCAAUGAUAGAAGGCCCUUCAUUGCACUCUGUCUUUCCAAUGUUGCUUUUAUGCUUCCCUGGCAAUUUGCUCAGUUUAUACUUUUUACACAGAUAGCAUCAUUAUUUCCCAUGUAUGUUGUGGGAUACAUUGAACCAAGCAAAUUUCAGAAGAUCAUUUAUAUGAACAUGAUUUCAGUUACCCUUAGUUUCAUUUUGAUGUUUGGAAAUUCAAUGUACUUAUCUUCUUCUUAUUCUUCAUCUUUGUUAAUGACGUGGGCAAUAAUUCUAAAGAGAAAUGAAAUUCAAAAACUGGGAGUAUCUAAACUCAACUUUUGGCUAAUUCAAGGUAGUGCCUGGUGGUGUGGAACAAUCAUUUUGAAAUUUCUGACAUCUAAAAUCUUAGGCGUUUCAGACCACAUUCGCCUGAGUGAUCUUAUAGCAGCCAGAAUCUUAAGGUAUACAGAUUUUGAUACUUUAAUAUACACCUGUGCUCCCGAAUUUGACUUCAUGGAAAAAGCGACUCCACUGAGAUACACAAAGACAUUAUUGCUUCCAGUUGUUAUGGUGAUUACAUGUUUUAUCUUUAAAAAGAGAUGUGAAUAAUUUAGGAGUGAGAAAGGCAUCUCCCUCGACACCUCUGUGGUUUCACCCUUGAUCCAGUUCCCUGCGGACCACGUGGAAAGAGUCAGGAUAAAGGAAACAAGGAGGAAUGAGUAAAAUACUGUUCGUGAUAUUUCGUGUGUUUUAGCUACAAACAUUUAUCUAAGAAAACAGCUCCUUGAACACAGUGAGCUGGCUUUUCACACAUUGCAGUUGUUAGCGUUUACUGCCCUUGCCAUUUUAAUUAUGAGGCUAAAGAUGUUUUUGACGCUGCACAUGUGUGUUAUGGCUUCCUUGAUAUGCUCUCGACAGUGAUGUCAAUACAAGGUUAUGCAAACCUCCGUAAUCAAUGGAGCAUAAUAGGAGAAUUUAAUAAUUUGCCUCAGGAAGAACUUUUACAGUGGAUCAAAUACAAUACCACAUCAGAUGCUGUCUUCGCAGGUGCCAUGCCUACAAUGGCAAGCGUCAAGCUGUCUACACUUCAUCCCAUUGUGAAUCAUCCACUUUACGAAGAUGCAGACUUGAGGGCUCGGACAAAAAUAGUUUAUUCUACAUAUAGUCGAAAAUCUGCCAAAGAAGUAGGAGAGAAAUUGUUGGAGUUACAUGUGAAUUAUUAUGUUUUAGAAGAGGCAUGGUGUGUUGUGAGAACUAAGCCUGGUUGCAGUAUGCUUGAAAUCUGUGAUGUGGAAGACCCUUCCAAUGCAGCUAACCCUCCCUUAUGUAGCGUCCUGCUCAAAGAUGCCAGGCCUUACUUCACCACAGUAUUUCAGAAUAGUGUGUACAGAGUAUUGAGGGUUAACUGAGAAGGAAACUACCCAUUACACUAUGGCACAAUGUGGUGUGUCAAAAACAAUCACCCUUUGGCUUAUUUACAUUAAUAAAAAUCACAAGCUUUAAUAACAGACACUUAAAAAUAAGAUAAAAAUGGAUUGAAAGUUUCUCUGAUUACUAAAAGGUAAAUUACUUUUCUGUUCAUUGAAUGUCAGCCUUAUUAAGCUUGUCAUAUAAGUUAUUAAAUCAUUCAUGUCAUACUGCAUAAACAAAUGUUCAUUUCAGAAUUUUAAAGAAAAAUGUAUAUAAAAGAACAAUGAAUUUUAAUAAAUCAAGGGUACGUAAGUCCUUUUUCAUCCAACUAGGUGAAUUGCUUCAGAUUUUCCCUAGUACCAGAGUGUACCUGCUCAAACUCUUUGAACCACUUAAGGGAGAAGAACGCAAGCUCUGAAAUGACAUCCUUAAAAUGCUGAUACUGAUCACAACCUCUUUACCUCUGUGAGCAAAUUGUAACAGUGUGUCUUUUAAGGUGUUUUUAUUUCACCAGCCCUUAAGAAAGAUCUCUAAUACCUUUUAAUACUUUUUUUUUAUAAUUUCAAGUUGAAGUGUUUUUAAAAACACCUUGUUUUGUAACGUUUUGAAUCUCUUGAGAUGUAUUUACCCCACUAGAUACAUAUUUGCCACUGGUUAGUUCUCCAUCUAAGCUCAAGAGGUUAUUCAUCUCUCUUUAGAUUCCAAUGGUUUUUCUUUUAACAUCCAGGUAAAAUAGAAACUGCUAUGGUAUACAACCAAAUUUUGGGGUUAAACAUAAUCAGAAAAGAAAAUCCAGUUAAAUUUAUGAAGUGAGAUUUUCAGAUCCUAGAUCUUGAAUAAAGCAAACGGCUUUUCAUCUUGAUGGCCCCAAAGCUUGUUGGUCAUGGUCUUUAUUUCUGGCCACUAUCAUCUUCUUAAAUAAUAUAUUUUUAAGCCCUCAUUUAUUUUUGGUUUUGGAUGAGGAAAGUCAUGUUUUCUAAGUCCUCUCCCCUAAUAAAACCUACCCAACAAUAGUGCUUUGAAAAGUGGUAGUUAUCUUGAAGAUAGAUACUCUUGCCAAAUGCAAAGAUAAACAUUCUUUUUGUCUGCUUUAUAAAUAUGAAAUAUGCCAGAUCUAUAGUAUUUUAAUGUGCAUCUACUUUAAAUGAGUCAUCUUGGGGUUUUUAUAAUUCCCUUACAUUCUUGCCCCUCUACACUUGAAAUAACAAAAUGCCUUAAUUUUAUAGAUUAGUUCUCUUAUAGCAGACAGGCAGCUAUAUGCAGCAAAACCAAUAAAGUUAUUUUUCAACUUUAAUAGUUGUAAAAUGUUAUAACAGAAUACAUAACAGCUAAGAAAACAUGCCACAUUUUAUUUUAGCAUUUUCAAAUAAUUUGUUUUUGGUGUAAGCACAGGAUAAAAAAGGAGAGCGUCAAAGAAAAGAGACUUAAAAAAAUAACAUUCAUAAAAAUUAACAAAGUAUAUUUUGGAUGAUGUUUUUACAGGAAAUAGUUUAAGUUGGUAGAAUUUUUAAAAUGGUACUGUAUUAGCUAAUAAAAUAUUCAGUACAUAUAUAUGUUUGGAUUUAUGCAUUAAAAAACUAAUAAAAUUAUUUCCAACUUU
ensembl:lncRNA novel transcript